AUCAUACUCCCUCCGUUCGAAAAUACUUGUCAUCACAAAGAAUAAAAAGGGAUGUAUCUAGAUGUAUUUUAGUUCUAGAUGCAUCUCUUUUCAUCCAAUUUGGUGACAAGUAUUUUCGGAUCGAGGGAGUAUACU
rfam:Triticum aestivum genome assembly, contig: Triticum_aestivum_CS42_TGACv1_scaffold_502015_6BL